CACGUAGGGCGCAAGCGUUGUCCGGAAUUAUUGGGCUUAAAGAGCUCGUAGGCGGUUUGUCGCGUCUGCUGUGAAAACGCGAGGCUCAACCUCGCGCCUGCAGUGGGUACGGGCAGACUAGAGUGCGGUAGGGGAGAUUGGAAUUCCUGGUGGAGCGGUGGAAUGCGCAGAUAUCAGGAGGAACACCGAUGGCGAAGGCAGAUCUCUGGGCCGAUACUGACGCUGAGGAGCGAAAGCGUGGGGAGCGAACAGG
rnacentral:rRNA from 1 species